UCAGAGAGAAAGGAUUUUAACCUGUACCUCUGGCUCCCAAAGCCAGAAUUCUAACAUUAAACUACUCUCUG
rnacentral:tRNA from 1 species